rnacentral:miRNA from 1 species
UAUCACAGUUUCCUUGCUGUCCA